rnacentral:snRNA from 1 species
GUGCUCGAUUCGGCAGCACAUAUACUAAA